rnacentral:rRNA from 1 species
GACGAACGCUGGCGGCGUGCUUAACACAUGCAAGUCGAACGGAAAGGCCCUGCUUUUGUGGGGUGCUCGAGUGGCGAACGGGGGAGUAACACGUGAGUAACCUGCCCUUGACUUUGGGAUAACUUCAGGAAACUGGGGCUAAUACCGGAUAGGAGCUCCUGCUGCACGGUGGGGGUUGGAAAGUUUCGGCGGUUGGGGAUGGACUCGCGGGUUAUCAGCUUGUUGGUGGGGUAGUGGCUUACCAAGGCUUUGACGGGUAGGCGGCCUGAGAGGGUGACCGGCCACAUUGGGACUGAGGUACGGCGCAGAAGCCUACGGGAGGCAGCAGUGGGGAGUAUUGCACGAUGGGGGGAAGCCUGAUGCAGCAGCGCCGCGUGCGGGAUGACGGCCUUCGGGUUGUAAACCGCUUUCGCCUGUGACGAAGCGUGAGUGACGGUAAUGGGUAAAGAAGCACCGGCUAACUACGUG